rnacentral:rRNA from 1 species
GAUGAACGCUAGCGGCAGGCUUAAUACAUGCAAGUCGAGGGGUAGCAAGAUUGUAGCAAUACAAUUGUUGACGACCGGCAAACGGGUGCGGAACACGUACACAACCUUCCUACAAGUGGGGAAUAGCCCAGAGAAAUUUGGAUUAAUACCCCGUAACAUAGCGAUGUGGCAUCACAUUGCUAUUAUAGCUUCGGCGCUUGUUGAUGGGUGUGCGGCUGAUUAGAUAGUUGGCGGGGUAACGGCCCACCAAGUCUACGAUCAGUAGCUGAUGUGAGAGCGUGAUCAGCCACACGGGCGCUGAGACACGGGCCCGACUCCUACGGGAGGCAGCAGUAAGGAAUAUUGGACAAUGGACGCAAGUCUGAUCUAGCCAUGCCGAGUGAAGGAUUAAGGUCCUCUGGAUUGUAAACUUCUUUUAUAGGGGACGAAAAAAGGUCUUUCUAGAUCGUCUGACGGUACCUUAUGAAUAAGCACCGGCUAACUCCGUGCCAGCCGCCGCGGUAAGAC